UGUGCUGAACACAGAAAAGUCAUGACUUGAAAAUACUGCUUAGAUUUGUUGAAAUUGACAUCAAAACAUGCCAAAAUCAUUAGACUGCCAGAAAAAAUGAAGAAAGCAAACAAGCACUAGUGCACAUUUUAUUUACUCAAGAAACACGCAAAGAUUAUGCACCACACCACAUCAACCGAUAUGCUCAUAAGAAAUAUUUACUCGAGUUGAUUUUCGGCUGGAUCGAGUCGAAGUUCAGAAUGGCACCGCUCAUCAUCAGCGUCACAGUCCUCAAGAUCCGAUGAACUGCUGAAAUUGAAUCGCUAUCCUGAAUCAUUCAAAGUGCCUCCUGAGCAUCAAAUCCACAUGCCAUCUCGCAACAACUUUUACUUCCAAACAGGUAGCCUAAACUAUGACAGAUUUGAUCCUGUUUACGGUGGGCGUUCCAACUGUGAAAGCGAAACCAAUCGAAACUGAAAGAGUGAAAGUGAUUAUCAUGCCGUUACCAUGUGAAUAGUCUUUUAUGAAUGUGUGAGUGCAGGCUCAGUGCUCCGACUCUGGUGUGACUGAGUAAGGUGACAAGUUUUAUGUUUCAUCUAAUUAAAAAAAAAAAAUUAUUUGGCAGUGGGCACAUAGGAAAGUGUAAAGUUUCUAUCAAUAUUUUUAUAAUGCUCAUAUGAUAAACUCAAAAGAUAUUAAUAUAAAUACAUGACCAACUCAUUCUAAUCCUGCCAAGCUUCACCAGUGAAGCUCUCGACCCCAGAGUGUUAAUCCAUCUGAAGCAGUAAACACACACACACACACACCCAGAGCAGUGAGCAGCUGUGCUACAGCGCCUGGGGAUUUUUAUUAUUAUUAUUUUUUUUAUAAUUAGAAGACUUUAUUUGAUGGCUCUGUGUUACUAAGGUAAACAGCUACGUCACAAGCGGAUAUCCAGUUUGAGUGCAAAUGGCCACACCCAGACAAGCCUAUUCUUAGCAAGAUCGCAAAUUUUAAAAUGAAUAAAUUAAGAUUUUAUUUUUAAUUAAAACAUGCAGGGGGAGGGGGGCAUAUCAGGGCAUUUGCCAUGAUUGGUAAAUAAACAGUGUUUAGUUUUUGAGUUUUGUUUGGCUUUAAGGCUCCUUUCACAUCUGCAUUGUUUAGUCCGUUUGAAUGGAACCUUGUUGUGUUCUCUCAGUACGGUUCUUGAGGUAGAUGUGAACAUAAAUCACACUCGAACAAAAACAACUGGUCAAAUAUCAUCUGAGCGAGUUGGACUCGGUCCACCUUAAAGUGAACAAUUCAACUCUGAAUCAACUCACCUGCAGGAAGUGACUCAAUCCUGCCAUGUAUUUUUGGGUUGCAUAUUUUUUGAAACCUGUGAGCUCAGGCAUAAACUGAGCCAUUGCACUGAGCUGCUGAAGUACCAUGCGUUCUGGAUAUCUGGAGUGACGAACAAAAAAAAUGUUCUCGAUGCUCAGGUGACCUUUGUGUACUUAGUAAAAGUUUGUUUACAUUUUAACAUUGGGGUUUUUUUUUUUGACCAAUUACAGUGCUGUUAUGGGUUGAAACCCAAUUUUCGCACCAUGUCAGUGUUGUGAAAUUCACUACAAAUUUCAUGGGACUCUUAAAGGGAAAGUGUUCCAAUUUCUGUUACUUUCACCGUUACUGUACAUUGUUACAGCCAUACAAUAAAAUGUUUGUCUAAAAUUUAUUGAUGUGCAAAAUUAUAAACUAAAACAGGGUGACACGAAUUAAAGAACGAAAGUAGUGGGUUACUGUAGCAUCCCACCAGUCCUCCAGUCAGUCAAGCUAUCGAAUGUGAGUGGAGAGCGCAAACCAGCCUUCUCCUUUCAGUUUAUCCACCUGCACAAAACACAAUGAUGGACGACAUAUUUUAUUUUGGAUCAUGCCUUUAGCUUUUAGUACCAAGAUUAUGUUUUUUAAAUGCAAGUGUGGAUGCCAAAAAACCACAAUAAAAUGGAAAGUAAUCAAUGUUCUUGAGUUUUAUUUGUUUGAAAUGGAACUAAUAUUGAAAUCCUGCAGCUGCAAACUUUUUGUUGUAUAAAACGGUUUAAGUGUAUUAUUCUAAAAAGUCAGAACAUUUCUAUGCAUCAAGAACAUGUCAAACGGCAGACAAAAUUGUGGAUUUCAGUGCAAGCAGAGCUUCAUUAUAACGGUUGGUAACAAUCUCCUGUGACCCCAGGGGUGAGAAUGUGUGUUGUCGUCGUGUGUGAAAUGCGUGUACCUGUGGAUUAACAGACUGCUUUUGUCUUCCUUCUAUAUUUUGUGGAGAAACUGCUUCAGCUGACCUGCAGAACAACAGCAAUGGUUUAAAACCCUGAACAGCUGCAGAGAAGCAGGCUGCUGAGAUUCGCCUUAUAGCCUCAGUAGAGCCGUUAGUGUGAAUGUGAAGCACCUUCUACUGUUUGUCUUGGCGUGAGAGGACUCGGCUCUUUCAGACUUGCUCUGAGAGAGAAAAAGUACGUUUUCUCAAAAGCAGGGGGCGACGAACGGGUGUCUGAGCACUGCGUGGGAGAGGCAUGGUUGUCCCUGAGCCGAGUCCGGAUCACUGCGUUCUGAG